GCUCAAAGCACAUUGCCAUAUAUUCUCCCGAUGCAGGGAAGGAUGAGAAGCUUCGANCAAGGUUCGAGUCGAGCGNAAGCGAGACAACGUUGCCGCAGGCAACGGCCCGAAGGGUGAGGAGCGAAGCGACGAAUAAUCCUUCCCCACCACCA
rnacentral:sRNA from 1 species